rnacentral:rRNA from 1 species
ACGGGUGAGUAACACGUAAGUAAUCUACCUCUAGGAUUGGGAUAACCUUGCCAACGCGGGGCUAAUACCGGAUGUGAUCAGGAAGACGCAUGUUUUUUUGAUUAAAGGAGUGAUCCGCUUAGAGAUGAGCUUGCGGCCCAUUAGUUAGUUGGCGGGGUAACGGCCCACCAAGACCGCGAUGGGUAGCCGGCCUGAGAGGGUGUACGGCCACAUUGGGACUGAGAUACGGCCCAGACUCCUACGGGAGGCAGCAGUAGGGAAUUUUGCGCAAUGGACGAAAGUCUGACGCAGCAACGCCGCGUGAGGGAUGAAGGUCUUCGGAUUGUAAACCUCUGUUGGAUGGGAAAAAAGGUAGCAAUAUUUGAUGGUACCAUUCGAGUAAGCACCGGCUAACUACGUGCCAGCAGCCGCGGUAAUACGUAGGGUGCAAGCGUUGUUCGGAAUCACUGGGCGUAAAGGGAGCGUAGGCGGGAUCGUAAGUUAGGAGUUUAAUGCAUGGGCUUAACCCAUGAUCGGCUUUUAAUACUGCGGUUCUUGAGUAUGGGAGAGGGUGAUGGAAUUCCAGGU